rnacentral:lncRNA from 1 species
GAAAAUCGAAGAAGAAAGAGAGAAAGAGAGAAUGACGUGCUAGAGAAAGAGAAAAAGAGAGAAGAAGAAAAGAAAGAAAAGUAGAAGAGAAACGCUGGUUGGAAGGAAAGCCGACGGUAAGGAAGAAAAAGAAAGAAAGAGCUAGGUAGGUAACUUUGAGAGAGGAAAGAGAGAGCUUAGUUUUGGUGACAAAAUGGCUGAAUAAAAAGAGAGAAAAAUUGGAGUUCUUUGGGCCAAUCUAGAGCUAACCAACGGUGGAAAUAGAAAGGGGACUUGAAGCAGCCGGCGAUGUGAGGGAGAGAGAGAGAGAGCUUGUGCCAUCCAUGGGUGGUGGUUCAUGAGAAGGUUGGCUGGAAUGAGGUGGAAGAGAAAGGGAAAGAGAAAAAAGGUGGAGACUUAGGCCACCUAGUCUAAAUUGGUAAAAAAAAUUGCCUUGCUCCUUUUGGGCUUGUUAUGAAGUUGGAUUAUUUGGGGCUAACUCACUUGUUUAGUUAAAUUUUGGUUAUUAGUAAUAUGAAUUAAAUUUAAAUUACUUUAAUGUAAUAUUUAAAAAUUCUUUUAUGAUGCCUCAUAGGAUUAAAGCAAAGAAGAAAAUAUGAAAUUGAUGAAUAUUGCUCAAGUGUAGUUAAGAAAUUUUAAAUGAUUCAUUGUGAAGAAUUAUUAUUGUUGGAGGAAUUUGUUUGCAUAAGUUAGUUGAAAGUGUUAAGUUGAAUGGUAUAAUACUUGGAAGAAAUAAGGAGGAAUAAUGUGGAUUGAAAUUGGAAAAUAAUUGGAUAGAUUUGAAAUGACUAUGGUUGCCGUAAAUAUAGUUAAUAUUGUGGGAAUAUAAGAUGGAUUUGGGCAAAAAUUAUUUAGAAAGGUUGAAGUAGGCACGUGACAUCAUAAAUAAGUUACCGGUGAUAUAAUCUAAGGAAUUACGUAAGCAACGGAUAUAAGUAAUUUUAGUAGACAUGUAUUAAGAUGUGAGUUAAUUGAAGAUGGUUUCAUGAUAGGAUGAAAAAUAUAAAUUUGAGUAAGGAUUAAUUGAUUGAAGUGCUAACCAUAUACGUAUGUAAUUAAAUAUAUUGAGUUUUUAUUAUUGCUAGGAAGUGCAAAGGUAAGAUUAGAGUAUUGUGAUUGCAUGCCAAAGUAAAUAACGAGCUACUGGCUAGUGAAAAUAGUUAGAGACUCCUCCAAACAAAUAGCGACUUAUUAUCUCGUUGUUGCCAGGUGAGUGAACUUGCAUUAAAAUGUUUUGGGGUAUACACAUUUAUGUUUGAUUGAAUCCCCUAAAACAUUUUAUUGGUUUUUCUUCAAAAAAAAUUUGAACGGGAGCAAGCCCUUAUGAAAUAGAUAGUGUGAUGAAUUCAUAUGUUUAUGUAUAAUGUUUAUAUAUAUACUAUGUCAUAAUUGGUACCAUUGUGUGACAAAUGCAACCGUGCAUGUGCGGGGUGAGUGUGCACUUACCGGUGAUGACGGUGGUGAGGGAGAUGGAUGGUGAUACUAUCCAGCUAUGUGCACGAUGUGGUGGGAUGCACAUGAGUUGGGUGAGAUGGGAUGUCCGGCUAUGUGGACGAUGUGGUGGGAUGUCCGGCUAUGUGCACGAUGUGGUAGGAUGCACAUGAGCUGGGUGAGAUGCACAUGAUGAAUCUUGAAAAUUUGCCAUUUAUUUGGAAAUUGAUUUUAUUGCAACAAGAAACAUUAUGUUUAUACUACCUUGCUUGGAUAAUUGCUAAAAAUUUCCUCUCUUUCCAAUUUCAUAUUGAAUAUAGUUCCUUCAUCAUUAAAUGAUUUAAUAACCAGGGGUUUAAUGGAGGGAUUUUUAAUGAGAACUUGAACUAAAUUGCAUUAUAUUUAAACUUAAUUGCAUCAUGAUUUCUAAGCCUUCCUUACCCUUGCUUGUUCCCUUCCUAUGUUCACUAACUUAGUUUGUAUUCAUGUUUAGAAAAUUCAUGUUUUAGCUUUCCUGAGUUAAAGGUGAUUGGAUCCUAGGACGAGGUGCUCCUCCCUAUCCAUUGCUCGGUAGGUUUAACGUGACACUAAAUGUUAGCAACCGUGCCUAGAGUCACUCCGUUGACAGUCAAGGUCUAAUCAUUUGCAUAUGAA